rnacentral:rRNA from 1 species
CCUACGGGAGGCAGCAGUGAGGAAUAUUGGUCAAUGGACGAGAGUCUGAACCAGCCAAGUAGCGUGAAGGAUGACUGCCCUAUGGGUUGUAAACUUCUUUUAUAUGGGAAUAAAAUGUUCCACGUGUGGGAUUUUGUAUGUACCAUAUGAAUAAAGAUCGGCUAACUCCGUGCCAGCAGCCGCGGUAAUACGGUGGAUCCGAUCGUUAUCCGGAUUUAUUGGGUUUAAAGGGAGCGUAGGUGGAUUGUUAAGUCAGUUGUGAAAGUUUGCGGCUCAACCGUAAAAUUGCAGUUGAAACUGGUAGUCUUGAGUACAGUAGAGGUGGGCGGAAUUCGUGGUGUAGCGGUGAAAUGCUUAGAUAUCACGAAGAACUCCGAUUGCGAAGGCAGCUCACUGGACUGCAACUGACACUGAGGCUCGAAAGUGUGGGUAUCAAACAGGAUUAGAUACCCGUGUAGUC